AUUGAACGCUGGCGGCAGGCCUAACACAUGCAAGUCGAACGGUAACAGGAAGAAGCUUGCUUCUUUGCUGACGAGUGGCGGACGGGUGAGUAAUGUCUGGGAAACUGCCUGAUGGAGGGGGAUAACUACUGGAAACGGUAGCUAAUACCGCAUAACGUCGCAAGACCAAAGAGGGGGAGCUUCGGGCCUCUUGCCAUCGGAUGUGCCCAGAUGGGAUUAGCUAGUAGGUGGGGUAACGGCUCACCAAGGCGACGAUCCCUAGCUGGUCUGAGAGGAUGACCAGCCACACUGGAACUGAGACACGGUCCAGACUCCUACGGGAGGCAGCAGUGGGGAAUAUUGCACAAUGGGCGCAAGCCUGAUGCAGCCAUGCCGCGUGUAUGAAGAAGGCCUUCGGGUUGUAAAGUACUUUCAGCGGGGAGGAAGGGAGUAAAGUUAAUACCUUUGCUCAUUGACGUUACCCGCAGAAGAAGCACCGGCUAACUCCGUG
rnacentral:rRNA from 1 species